rnacentral:rRNA from 1 species
AGUGAACGCUGGCGGUAGGCCUAACACAUGCAAGUCGAACGGCAGCACAGUAAGAGCUUGCUCUUACGGGUGGCGAGUGGCGGACGGGUGAGGAAUACAUCGGAAUCUACUUUUUCGUGGGGGAUAACGUAGGGAAACUUACGCUAAUACCGCAUACGACCUACGGGUGAAAGCAGGGGAUCUUCGGACCUUGCGCGAUUGAAUGAGCCGAUGUCGGAUUAGCUAGUUGGCGGGGUAAAGGCCCACCAAGGCGACGAUCCGUAGCUGGUCUGAGAGGAUGAUCAGCCACACUGGAACUGAGACACGGUACAGACUCCUACGGGAGGCAGCAGUGGGGAAGAGUGGACAAUGGGCGCAAGCCUGAUCCAGCCAUACCGCGUGGGUGAAGAAGGCCUUCGGGUUGUAAAGCCCUUUUGUUGGGAAAGAAAAGCAGCAGGUUAAUACCCCGCUGUGCUGACGGUACCCAAAGAAUAAGCACCGGCUAACUUCGU